rnacentral:rRNA from 1 species
CAGUCGUACCUGCGGAUAAUCAGCCUUUCGGGUGCGAUUCUGUGAGGCGUGAGGAGCUUAACCGCCUUCACGUUUUGCAUACUCGUGCACAUUUGGUGUACUUGCUCGUGUGGUUGGUUAACAUCAAUUUCGGACGCCAAUAAAAUGGCUGGAGGAAUGUAGCUUCGAUCUCGUAUUGAAGUGUUAUAGCCUUUGGAGAUGUGGAUGAUCGAGG